ACAGAACCUGCGGACAAAAACGUCAGAAAUAAAAGUGUAGACCAGAUCACCCAUCACAUUAGACCACGUCUAAAAAACAGGCUCAGAGGCCCAGUGGCAGCAGGUCACCACGUCCAUCUACAACAUCUCACAUACAGCAGGUCUUCACAGUCUGGCCCACAUGAAACAUGACUAGCGGCCCACAGGCCACAUACAGUACAGCCCAGACUGUUGCAUUAAAGAAAAAUGGGUUGAAUGAGAAUUUCAACUUCUAAUCAAAACCCCAACAGGAUACUCGUCGUAGCCUAGCAACCUGUUUCGUUCCGUCAAGCUGAAGCUGAAGGGUCUGGAUUCAACUCUAGUCCAUAACCCGGGUUGGGCUGUGUCCCACGAAAAGGAAUGGACUGUGGGCUGCUGCCGUAUCAGAGACAUGACACAGAUCAUGUUCUCGUGUUCAUCCACAUUCACGUCCAAAGUGCGUUGAGCACAGGUGGAUUCUGGGUUGGCAGGUUUGUUUAUCCAGUCUUGUUGAAAGGCUAUUUAAAUAUGAGAGGAAAUAGUUUCUGGGACAUCGUUGUUCAAAUGUCAUUUUUAUGGUCAAAAUUGAAAUAUAUUCACGAGUCGUAUUUUUUCCUCCGGGUUAUUUUGCAGGUAUCGACAGGGUGGAGUUUAUUUACCCCGCAGUCUGACGGAUUCCAUCAGUUUUAUGAGGUUUAUUUUAUAGUCAAACGUCUGCGACUCAUUAUUUACGAGAUAAACUCGACUUUUAGUCAUAUUGUCUAACGCUCUCUGCCUUUUCCCCUCAUUUCUCACUCUAUCGGCCGUUUGGUCCGUUAGCUUCCAUGUCGACACCGGUUAACGACAAGCAGAACUUUUUUUUACGGCGUGUCGCCCGCUGCGGACCAGAGUUCCGACAGACAGACUGGACUGUAGGAACGUGGGUUUGUGCUCCGUUGAAUAACAGCAUGAUUUAUGACGAAAGCAGAGACGGACUGAAGAUCCUACUAACAGCCAAACCAGAAAACAUUUUUCUUCACAGAGCGCUCAGACGUGGAAUUUUAGGAAUUGUGACAGAGCUGGAUUUGACGAGAGGCUCGAUCCAAAGAACCUGAUGACGUCACGUCGUUACUCUGAUGAUUGAUAUUAAUCAACAGAUGGGGGAAAUGUAAAGCUAUGCAGAAACUUUUGCAGGUCCUGCCUUCAUACCCCAGAUUGGACAUGGUACUCCACGACGAUGACUUGUACCAGCUCCAAAAAUAGAGUGGGAAAGAGGUUAAUUAUAGUUCCUGUAAUUUUAUUUUGGAUUCGAUGACACUGUUAAAGAGCUUGCUUACCUCUGCGUUGUGAAAGUGGUGUACAGUUGCUAAAUACGACCUCAGUAGCAGUAGCUGUGCACAUUAGAGGGGGUAACAGGAGAACAGAAAACUAUGUAGAUGACGCUCUAUGUAGACUGAGUGUUUUUGAAUUCAUAUUUCAAUAUUUCACAUUUUGCACCGACUGGAAAAAAAAAAAAAAAAAAAAAAAGGCACCUUUUUCUUCUCACCACAUCUGUUCAAUGGUCGGUUAAGGAAAUGUUGAU